UGGGAGAAGGAGAGGCUGGAGAGGAGACUGAGGAAGGACUCAGGAUGGAGAGGCAGGAGACUUAGAGGAGGUACCUGGAGCAGAGAGACACGUGAAGAAGCCGCACUUACUUCUCGGCCUUGGCUUGUACCAGAGACUUGGGGAUAUAGAAGACACUUGAAACAGUGUUGAAACAGACAUGGUAGGGACUCUGAAGAAUUUCUCGGUCAUGUGAAGCAUAAAGGUUCUUCUGAACAUCACUGUUUCUUCUGUGAAUAAAUG